GACUCGGUGGCGGAUGGUCCGUGUCCACAACUUAUGGAUCAAGGCGAUUGCGUUCGCGGUGGAAGGUUGCCUGUUCGAAUCAGGCCCGAGUCA